UACGGAGGGUGCAAGCGUUAUCCGGAUUCACUGGGUUUAAAGGGUGCGUAGGAGGGCAGGUAAGUCAGUGGUGAAAUCUCCAAGCUUAACUUGGAAACUGCCGUUGAUACUAUCUGUCUUGAAUACCGUGGAGGUGAGCGGAAUAUGUCAUGUAGCGGUGAAAUGCUUAGAUAUGACAUAGAACACCAAUUGCGAAGGCAGCUUGCUACACAGUUAUUGACACUGAGGCACGAAAGCGUGGGGAUCAAACAGG
rnacentral:rRNA from 1 species